rnacentral:rRNA from 1 species
CCCCUAGAUGUUCUGGGCCGCACGCGCGCUACACUGACGAAUGCAACGAGCUUAUAACCUUGGCCGAAAGGUCUGGGUAAUCUCCAAAUUUCGUCGUGAUGGGGAUAGAUUAUUGCAAUUAUUAAUCUUCAACGAGGAAUGCCUAGUAAGCGCAAGUCAUCAGCUUGCGUUGAUUACGUCCCUGUCCUUUGUACACACCGCCCGUCGCUCCUACCGAUUGAAUGGUCCGGUGAAGCGUUCGGACCGUGGCCUUUGGACGGUUCGCCGUCUGUUGGCUGCGGGAAGUUCGUUAAACCUUAUCAUUUAGAGGAAGGAGAAGUCGUAACA